rnacentral:rRNA from 1 species
GUUGCCAGCGCGUCAUGCCGGGGACUCUAAAGGGACUGCCUUCGCAAGAAGUGAGGAAGGCGGGGACGACGUCAAGUCAUCAUGGCCUUUACGCCUAGGGCUACACACGUGCUACAAUGGCCGGUACAGAGGGUCGCCACCCAGCGAUGGGGCGCCAAUCUCAAAAAGCCGGUCUCAGUUCGGAUCGGAGUCUGCAACGUUGACGUCCGUGAAGCCGGAAUCGCUAGUAAUCGCGCAUCAGCAAUGGCGAGGUGAAUACGUU